GAUGAACGCUGGCGGCGUGCCUAAUACAUGCAAGUCGAGCGAACAGAUGAGGAGCUUGCUCCUCUGACGUUAGCGGCGGACGGGUGAGUAACACGUGGAUAACCUACCUAUAAGACUGGGAUAACUUCGGGAAACCGGAGCUAAUACCGGAUAAUAUAUUGAACCGCAUGGUUCAAUAGUGAAAGACGGUUUUGCUGUCACUUAUAGAUGGAUCCGCGCCGCAUUAGCUAGUUGGUAAGGUAACGGCUUACCAAGGCAACGAUGCGUACCCGACCUGAGAGGGUGAACGGCCACAUUGGAAGUGAGACAGAGCCCACACACCUACGCGAGGAAGCAGUAGGGAAUCUUCCGCGAGGGGGGAAUGCCUGACGGAGCAACGUCGCGUGAGUGAUGAAGGUCUUCGGAUCGGAGAACGAUGUUAGUAGGAAAGAACAAAAGUGUAAGUAACUAUGCACGUCUUGACGGUACUUAAUCAGAAAGCCCCGGCUAACUACGUG
rnacentral:rRNA from 1 species